CUCUGGAUAGUUCACGUAAAGGCGAUCUGUCUCCUCGUCGUACUGCCACGCCAGCUGGGUGCCGUCGGGAUCAUCUGCCUCUGGGGUACCUGUACCUGCUGGGAGUUUCGGAGGAAUCCGUGAGUCACGGGGACUCAGCAAUCUAAGACCUUGGUGCCAGACCUAGUCAUGUUAAUGGGUAAGGAAGGGAUGAAGUGUUUCCGGCUGCUGCAUCCUAAGAUUGAAUAAGUGGCUAGCUUACGCAAAGGGAAAAAUGACAAUGGUAUAUGCUAACGAUCGAGAACACUUGAUCAGAAAGUGAUCCUGAACACCUACCUACGUCAUACAUAACCCCUCCGUGUUCCCGAUCGAAGAGAGAUCUUCGAAGGGACAGUCACGGUUACGCACUCAGUUGGCAUGUUUAUUAGUUUAUGUUCAAGUUCUCUAAUACCGGAUGUUAACAAAUAUUCCAAGUUGCCACAUAACCGCGGGAACGGCUUUCCGAAAAGAUUAAACCCUGCAGGGGUGCUCCAACUAGUCCAUCACAAACGAACACAGGCCGCAAAGGCAUCCUCUAUCACGAAUCUCGUGAUCUCGUCGGAUUCCUUAGAGGAAAACCUCAACUCUGGGGGAAACCAAAGCUUCACCGGGAUUCCGUGCGCAAGAUACACCGCUAAGGCAAGACAAGACUAGCAGGACCUCCCGACGUGUCGACGACCCUGAUAAGAGUCGCGUAUCUCAGUCUCAGGACACGCCGGAUGAGCGAUGGUUACCACGCCAAAACUCCGAGUUGCCCCGGGGAGCGUAAUAAGCUGCUCUGGUUUGGACCAACACUCAUGAGGAGCACUGGCCCAGGUUGUUGAUUAAGAAACCUCGGGGUAGCUAUUCCCUAUGCAGUUUAUUAUUAAGUGAUUAGCAAAUAGUACCAAUGUUGGGUCCUUCCGGACAAGCCUUAACACUACGCGAUUUAUCAAGGGGGUCCCCAUAACAACCCCGAACGUGUUAGGAGCGAUCAAUAUGGAAUCAAACACCGGUAACCGGUAACUAAGGCGGCAAUAACGGAACAAGACACCCGGCAAAAGGCUAGGCCUCCUGUCAUUUACCAAAUAUAUAGGUACAUUAAAUAAAUAACAGAAAUUAAUAUAAUGAUAUCAAGCUCAUGGCAACUCAUGAGUUAUAAACACCUGCAACUAACAAUGCUAACAUUAGUAGCUGAGCAAGCCUACCUAGCCAUGCAAAUUUGCUAGGAAAGAGUAAGGUGUUUGGGCUCAUGGCAUAUGAAGAGGCUACAUAUCAUCAGUGGUAGGCAGCGAGCAAUAUGACGUGGAAUCGAAACUAACAUAACAAGUCUAGAUAUGGGAUCAAGGUCAUGUCAUCUUGCCUGUGAUAUCCUCAGCUUGGAAUGGUUCUGGAUCGUCCUGCACGUACUCUCCCGACUCCACGUAAUCGGUCUCCGCUCCCGGUGCUACCCAACACAAGAAUGACAGCCAAUGAACAGCAGCACCAAGAAAUGCAACAUUCACAUGAUGCAUGAGAUGAAAGUUGAGCAUGCACCACUAUUUCUAACACUAGCACGAGCACGAAUAACUACAACAAGUUCCUGGACAGAACUUUGCACUAAAAUAUUUGGACAUGCAUGGGAAUGAUAUGAACAGAUGCAUCUCGUAAAAACGGUGCAAAACCAUUUAAAGAACUUUGCAAACGGAGCUACGGAUCAACGGGAAUCAACGAAACCGUUAUGAAGCCCUACGUGAAAGAUUCAUCACCACACACACAAUUGGCACAAAUCUGGUGUUCCCAGGUUUUCAAGACAUAUAUGAACCCAACAUGAAUGAAAUGGAGCAAGGUAGAACACUCCAACAACAAUUAAACGCAAACUUUGAACAAAAUGUCAAAACUACGCAAUCUGCCAGUUUCUGCAUCUUAGCUGUUUGAGAGCAACAUGCAACAUAGCUACAGGUCUUCAAACAAGACAAAUAAUAUAUGUGGAUGUUGCCAACCAAGAAUAAUACCAUCUCCAGCAAGAAUCACAGCAAAAGGAAUUAAACUCUAGAAGAUACAAGGCCACAAACUUUCCCAAAACCAUCAGUUCUCAGGGACUUAGUGAAAAUUCCUGCACCUGAGUUUCUGUUUCUGUUCUGAAGCUUUUUNNNNNNNNNNNNNNNNNNNNNNNNNNNNNNNNNNNNNNNNNNNNNNNNNNNNNNNNNNNNNNNNNNNNNNNNNNNNNNNNNNNNNNNNNNNNNNNNNNNNNNNNNNNNNNNNNNNNNNNNNNNNNNNNNNNNNNNNNNNNNNNNNNNNNACAGGAAGCUUCACAACCAUACCAGGUUCAAAACACUAGCACUGAACUAAGUCCAGUUCCCAACAUAAUGACCAGCACAACCUUAUUUACAGGGGAAGAAAAUGUUUCCAGCACUCCAGACUUAGUGAAAUUUUCAGAGUUCAAAAAUCUGGAAUUUUUCCAGCCACAUGCCCACUUUGUCUAGGCAUAGUUUGCACACCCAUGUCCCCAAGAGGUGUUUGACACCACUAUGGUGUUGAGCACAAACCCCUACAACUAGCACACCAAGACCCAUGCCUUAGGGCUCCUUCUAUACCGUGGGAACAAGGCCCAAACUUUCAACAAAGUGCAUAUGCAAUCCAUAAGGUAUGCUCCUAAGAUGACAAGUAAAUAGGAGAGUUUCAUGUGCACAAUGACAAAGUGACAUGGGGGUUUUAACCCCAUGUUUGUGUCAUGCACAUCAACAACACCAACACCCAUAUCACAAUACUACUAGAUUCAAGCACAAUACAAUAGGAUUCUAAGCUAACAAGAGAGUAUGCACACCUCCACAUAUGGGCAUGUGGUGGUGCACACUCUCACAUGUAUUCCACUUCUUUUACAACAACAUCAUGCCCUUAAACCUAAGGAAAACUAGAGGGGGUAAGAAACUAAGCAAGUAACUUGGUAGCAUCAACUCUCAAACACUUUUAGUAGGUACCACAAGUGGUGUGCACUCACAACAACAUCAUCUCCAUUCCUACGCAUGUUAUGAUGGCAAUGAACACUAGGAUAAGCUCUCACACACAAUUAUAUGUGGUGGGGAGGGCACCCCUUCAUCCACACACUUGCACAAGGCCACCCUCAUGAGGGCAACUAGCACCCACAUGCACUAGACUAGCAAGGCACCCAAGUGAGAGCACCAAUAUAAACACACUCUCACACACAUCACACCUCAAGCACCAUUUACGAGCACCUAGGCCCACACCACUACUACCAUCACAAUACUUCUCCUACUUCCUCAACAAGUGACAUGGAAGGGAGGAACAUAGGCAUGGAUUCACACCACUACUAUCAUCACAAACUACUCCUACACCUCCUACAAUUAACAUGGAAGGGAGAAAUACAUAGGUCAAAAUAUACUCUGAGCUGGACAUGGGGUUGCUCACAUAGCAAGGGAAAAAAAAGACUGCAAAACAGGAAAAAAAAAGAACAAAAGAAAAAGAAAUCUGGGCUGACUGGGAUUCGAACCCCAGCCCCCUGAUACAACAAUACCACAACCCACCACUAUGCUGCUGCUACGGUUGUUAACAAGAGAGGAGGGAAUAGCAAGGUAAGUUGACUGCAUGCCCUGAUACGAAUAAAAUCAAAAACAACCACCAAAAGGCGCCGAGGGGGGGACUCGAACCCACGCCCUCCUACAGGCGCUAGAAUAAGCCAGCACUACACUACCAUCGGGCUACGGAUCGGGAACUGGUUAGAGCAGCAGGUAAAAAUAGUAAAACACUCCUCUCGCGAGAAGUAUCCCGCCGGCGGCCGGAGCCGAGGACGCUGGCGGCGCCACUCCCGGCCACCACCGGCAGGGGAAACCGUCGGCGGGGCCCGCGGGACUCCCGGGGGAUCCAUUUUUGCCCUGAGCACGGGAGAAGGAGCACCCUUGGCUGCCUUGAACUGCAGCGGCGUUCCUGCUACGCUGCAGUUCGCGUGGGAGCACGGGACAGAGAGCUUGACGGGCCUCCCUGCUAGCGCUGCCGCGCUGCACUACCGACGACGAGGGGGGGGUCCCUCUGGUCACGCGCUACCGUCGAGGGAAGGAGGAAGCCCCUGUUACCACCCCUACCUCUAACAGCAACAACUAACACUCGUACUCUGCACGUACACCCAACAACAGCCCCCUGACGAACGCCGGCAGGGAAGACGACGACCUCGCCGCGGAUCGGGACCGGACUGAGGAGGAGGAAGCACUGGGCGGCGGGCCUCACCUUGGGGCGAAGAGGGGGCGCCGCACGGGGCGGAGGACGCCGGAGGCGAAGAAGAGGAGCCGCGCAGUUCGCCCGGUUCGCCCAGAAGACGGGGACGAGCUCGACGGGGGGGGCCGCGCCUCGGGGUCCUAGCGCCGGGAAUGGGACGCGGGGAGCCGCCCCGAGCCCCCGGACAUGGCGCCCAGUGCCGGAGACGACGGAUCGGCGGUUAGACGGAGGAGGCGCUGCACCCUCUCUCUCUGCUUUCUCUCAGAACUUACCAGGGAAGAACGAGGGCACGAGGGAAACUGGCGGCGCUGGGGAGGAAAGGAGAGGGAACCCUAGGGCGGAGGAGGAGGUCUCGGGCUCCUUUUAACGCCUCGGGAGGCGAGCUCGAGC
rnacentral:lncRNA from 1 species